AAUUGAAACAGCUGCAACUUUGCAAACAUCUUCUUUAUUGCGCAGCAGACCGAACACUGCUUGUUUCAGCUGGAAUAGCCUUUGAGAAAUCCGAAAAAUGUCUUCAAAACAGCACACCCUGUCAUCUCUCCUGCAGAUCUUCAGAGAUGGAAGAGAAGGGAGAGGAAAAAAUUAGAGAAAUGACUGUGCAAGGGUCUUAAAUCCAGUGGCCUGGUGGUGGUGGUCAAGCUCCUUCAGUGCUUGGGUCCCCCCUGCAUAGUUCACUUAAGAGUGGACUCUGUACCUGCUGUUUUAAAGGUUCAUUUUCAACUUACCAUUAAGGCUGACACCUGUGGAACCCUGCCUUUGAUUGAUUGUUGAGGCCAUUGAUCUAAUUUUGAAACCUUUGAAUUUCUCCUCUGCAUCCUUCCUUUUCUUGUAUGGCGUGGAGUAAACCUAAUUCCUGUGUGCCUCAUGCAGGGCCUCGCUCUGCAAGGUGGGAAAACUGAGUGAAUAAAUAAAUAAAAUAAACCUUAAGAAACAGGUCUUUCACAGCGGCACAGAGAUUUUUAUAGACUGGAUCAAUUAAAUUUGUCUUAUUUGGAACAAUGGGGCUCUGUAACUCAAUAAGAGGUAAUGUGGUUGAAAAAGCCUCUCACUGUGCGGCCAUUAGGUGAGACAAUGUUACCAUGGGAGUAUUAACAUGCAGGGAUUACAGAGGUAUGACUGGUCCGAGCCAAUUAGA